rnacentral:lncRNA from 1 species
AAGGAAGUAAAAAAUCUGUACACUGAAAAUUACAGUACUCUGAAAAAGGAGAUUGAGGAGGAUAUCAGAAAAUGGAAAGAUUUCCCUUGUUCAUGGAUUGAAAAAAACAACAUAAACCAGGCAUGGUGGAAAAAAGAACAGGUAUUCAGGGACUAUCUCAACACGUCAGGAUACUUCUCUCUCCUGUGCUUCCGUGCGUAUCACCAUCUCUGCAGGAUCAAGAGGUACUUAUAA